CCCCGGGCUGGGGUCGGAGCGCUAGCCGAGCGCAGGGGAACCGCUCUCGGACCCCGGCCGGUGGUUUGGGCCGCCUCCCCUGCUUCGGGCCCAGGUGGUGAACUCUCAGUUGAGCAAGUGUCCGGAGCUGGAAAAGGAGGGCUGGGCAUAGGCACCAGACACACAAGAUGAAUGAGAUACGGCCUUCGCCGGGAGGAACUGACACUGGAGGCAGGGAACACCGAGUCCUGGGAUUGCCACACACCUCCAGGCCGUUUUCGUCAGGACGGAGAGGGGUACUCAUGGUGGCCAGCAGCUUCACUAUUGUGGACAACAGUGGGAGCCAGCACGUGGUGCGAUGUCACCGUGCCACGAGCAGUCAUCAAAGCGUCAUUAGAAACCUCACCGAAGGUCCUGGCGUAGAAGUCACUUCUCGUGGAGCCUUCCCCUGACAUCGCCACGCAGACACGCUCUCCCUGGUCCUCCCCUUGGCCUGGGAUGAGUGUCCCUCCCAGGGUCACCGGGGGCACCAGGCCCUCGCCUGUGCACCUGUCCGUCUCUCUAGCUGACUAUGAACGUUCCAGGACAGGAACUCUGCUCACGUCGUUUCUCCAGCACGCAGCCCAGCCCAGGCCUGACAUAUGGUAGGUGUUCAAGAGAGAUUUGUUGAAAGCACUCGGGAAGGAAUAAAUGAAUGACUGCUCUGCCCCUCCGGGAUGAGUGGGUCUCUUGCGGGGGGAGGGUGUUUGCUACUCUGUGCCCUUCAUUUCCCCCAAAAAGCCUUGGCUUCAGUGUUCUGUCCCUUUGUCCUCUAACAUCAGGUCUGUCGCACUGUCCGUCCAUCUGAUCUGGAAAAUGGGGUCGUUAUGGCCCUGAGCCUGCUGGCGGGAGCCCCCCAAGAGCUCUGAGGAUGAACUGCAAACAGCAGGGCAUCUCUGCGUUGAGAGGGAGGAGAGCACAGGAAAAGGGAGUCCUCAGGCCAUGAGUCACUCAUGGGCCACCAAUCUGUUCCCGAGAGGCAGGGCGGUCAGUGUGCAUGCCCAGUGGGCCAGGCAGGUGGUUUGGGCACUUUCUGCUGUGACACCGAGAUCCGCUGUGUAUUUUGCUGGCUCCAGAGGGGAGACGGCAAAGAAUAACCUACAACCACAGCAACGAGGCUGGGGUUCGAGUCCUCCGCCCGUCGUCCCUGUAAAUAGUGGAGGGCUUCUGCAACUUUGUCUUUCUGCAUCUAGCGUGCACUUCCUAGGUCAUUUCUGUCACCCUGUCGUUUCACUUAAAUGUAUCCCAGAGCACCUGGAGGCUGGGAGAAUAUGGUCACUACGUCUGUUUCCACCUCCUGAGACCAUGAGGCCCACCCCUAGGAAUACAGCCAUGAAGCCAGGGUCUGAGGCCCAGGCCUUUUAGAG